CAUUUUUUUUUAUUUCUUUUAAUCUCUAAAUUAUAGUAGUCGACUUCCUGUGGCUGCGUUUAGGAAUUUGUUUGUUUAUUUUUACUAUUUUCACUCGCAGGGUCCUGCAUAUCCUUGAGCACAGAAACAACAAAAUAUUUUCUCAAUAAAAAAUUUCGAUUUUCUAGAACCGUAUAACAGAUUUUUGUUCGGGAAUCCAUUACUUACAAGAACAAAAAUUUUGUUUCUCAACUGCGGAACUUGAAGGAUAGAACUUUACCUUUUUAAGAGCUUUAUUUGAGAGGAGACUAGAAGUUGUUUCUACAUGUACAAAUAUAAGGAAAGUCCUUCGAUAUAUGCCAGUGAUGAGGUGUAAUGGGAUAUAGAACUGUUCCUGGUUUUCAGCAGCUGCAUUUAAUUACACUUUAGCACUAACGGUAAAUGCUAUGCUAUGUGUGAAAAAAAAAAUAUCAGAAAAAUUUAUCAAAAAACUGUCAAAUCUUCAAUCAAACUAAGCCGAUUCGCGAGAGCGGAGAAUUGAAAAACUUCAAAAAAGCGAGCAAUACAUCAACGGCACAGCGCCAGAAUUAAGCCUCCAAAUGGCUAGACGAGAUUUAUAUUUAUGUGUAUGUAUGUGUAUGUAUUUAUGUAUAAUUUUCCUUAAUUUUUUCCGUAUUAAUUUAUUGUUGGUUCUAUUGGAGCGUGUGCGCUUCUCUGUCGGAUUGUUGAAAGCACGAAAAAUGGUAUUCCGAUUUUUUCUGUUUUGGUGAUCAAUAAAUAAAUAAUUGUUUAUAUUACAUUUACAAACAUGCAUACAU